AAACAUGGCUCUUUGUUAGCAAAAUAUAAGGAGUCGGACCUGCCCAGUGAUAAAUUUAACGGCCGCGGUACUCUGACCGUGCAAAGGUAGCAUAAUCAUUUGCCCUAUAAUUGAGGGCUGGAAUGAAUGGUUUGACAAGAGUAAUACUGUCUCUUUAAGAUUUCCCAAAAUUUAAUUUAUAGGUCAAGAAUCCUAGAUAAAAUUAAAAGACAAGAAGACCCUAUCGAGCUUUAAAAAAGAGUAUGAAAUAAUAUAUUAUAUUUAAAGUCAUCUAAUAUUUUGGUUGGGGCGACUAAGGAACAUUUAAAGCUUCUUAUUUUACUGAGAGUUUUGAUCCAGUACUGAUUAAAAAAAUUAGUUACCGUAGGGAUAACAGCAUAAUCUCUCUUAAGAGCUCAUAUCGAAAGAGAGGUUUGGACCUCGAUGUUGGACUAGAAUAUCCUGAAGAUGCAGAAGU
rnacentral:rRNA from 1 species